AUACGUAGGUGACAAGCGUUAUCCGGAUUUACUGGGCGUAAAGGGCGUGUAGGCGGCCUUGCAAGUCAGAAGUGAAAUUCCUGAGCUCGACUCGGGCGCUGCUUCUGAAACUGCCGGACUUGAGUGCUGGAGGGGAUAGCGGAAUUCCAAGUGGAGCGGUAGAAUGCGAAGAUAUUAGGAAGAACACCGGUGGCGAAGGCGGCUAUCUGGACAGUAACUGACGCUAAGGAGCGAAAGCAUGGGUAGCAAACAGGAUUAGAUACCCUGGUAGUCCAUGCCGUAAACGGUGGGCGCUAGGUGUAGGGGUCUUCCACGGCUUCUGUGCCGUAGCUAACGCAUAAGCGCCCCGCCUGGGGAGUACGUCCGCAAGGCUAAAACUCAAAGGAAUUGACGGGG
rnacentral:rRNA from 1 species